UAUUUCGAACUAGCUGAUGCCCGCGACUUCGUUCGCGUGGAUUUAGGGUUUUCAAAAAUCCCGUGGGAACUCUUUGAUUUUCUGGGAUACAAAGUGGCAUAUGUUACUCUUCGGGUUUUUAAUUAUACCCAUG